rnacentral:rRNA from 1 species
AUUGAACGCUGGCGGCAGGACUAACACAUGAAAGUCGGGCGAGAGGCGGACGGGUGAGUAAUGUAUGGGGAUCUGCCUGAUGGAGGGGGAUAACUACUGGAAACGGUAGCUAAUACCGCAUACCAUCAGAGGAACCCAUAUGGGAUUAGCUAGUAGGUAAGGUAACGGCUUACCUAGGCGACGAUCCCUAGCUGGUCUGAGAGGAUGAUCAGCCACACUGGAACGGAGACACGGCCCAGCAUCCUACGGGAGGCAGCAGGGGGGAAUAUUGCCCAAUGGGCGCAAGCCUGAUGCAGCCAUGCCGCGUGUAUGAAGAAGGCCUUCGGGUUGUAAAGUACUUUCAGUCGGGAGGCGUUACCCGCAGAAGAAGCACCGGCGAACUCCGUGCCAGCAGCCGCGGUAAUAC